GAUGAACGCUAGCGGCAGGCCUAACACAUGCCAGUCGAGGGGGAGGUUACUUUCGGGUAACUGAGACCGGCGUACGGGUGCGUAACGCGUAUACAAUCUGCCUUUCACUGGGGGAUAGCCCGAAGAAAUUUGGAUUAAUACCCCAUAGUAUAGUAAUACGGCAUCGUGAUGCUAUUAAAGCUUAGGUGGUGAAAGAUGAGUAUGCGUUCUAUUAGCUAGUUGGAGAGGUAACGGCUCCCCAAGGCGAUGAUAGAUAGGGGUUCUGAGAGGGAUGUCCCCCACACUGGUACUGAGAUACGGACCAGACUCCUACGGGAGGCAGCAGUGAGGAAUAUUGGACAAUGGUCGGAAGACUGAUCCAGCCAUGCCGCGUGCAGGAUGAAGGUCUUAUGGAUUGUAAACUGCUUUUGUAAGGGAAGAAUAAGGGCUACGCGUAGUUUGAUGACGGUACCUUACGAAUAAGCAUCGGCUAACUCCGUG
rnacentral:rRNA from 1 species